rnacentral:rRNA from 1 species
GAUGAACGCUGGCGGCGUGCCUAAUACAUGCAAGUCGAGCGAACGGACGAGAAGCUUGCUUCUCUGAUGUUAGCGGCGGACGGGUGAGUAACACGUGGAUAACCUACCUAUAAGACUGGGAUAACUUCGGGAAACCGGAGCUAAUACCGGAUAAUAUUUUGAACCGCAUGGUUCAAAAGUGAAAGACGGUCUUGCUGUCACUUAUAGAUGGAUCCGCGCUGCAUUAGCUAGUUGGUAAGGUAACGGCUUACCAAGGCAACGAUGCAUAGCCGACCUGAGAGAGUGAUCGGCCACACGGGAGCUGAGACACGGUCCAGACUCCUACGGGAGGCAGCAGUAGGGAAUCUUCCGCAAUGGGCGAAAGCCUGACGGAGCAACGCCGCGUGAGUGAUGAAGGUCUUCGGAUCGUAAAACUCUGUUAUUAGGGAAGAACAUAUGUGUAAGUAACUGUGCACAUCUUGACGGUACCUAAUCAGAAAGCCACGGCUAACUACGUG